UGCCACCCUGUUUGCUGUGCUUGAAGUGCGAAUCUUCAGUGGAAACAGUAAUGCCUCCCUUAUGUGUUUCACUAGUGGUCCUCUGGCUUCAACUGAGUGGGGUGAGCAGCCAGCAGAAGGUGCAGCAGAGCCCAGAAUCACUCAGUGUCUCAGAGGGAGCCAUAGUCUCUCUCAACUGCACUUUCAGCGACAGUGCUUCUCAGUCCUUCUGGUGGUACCAACAACAUCUCGGGAAAGGCCCCAAAAUGCUGAUAUCCGUAUUCUCCAAUGGCAACAAGAAAGAAGGCAGAUUCACAGCUCACCUCAAUAGAGCCAGCCUGCAUGUUUCCUUGCACAUCACAGACUCGCAGCCCAGUGACUCGGCAGUUUACCUCUGUGCAGUGAGCGCACAGUGA